UACAGAGGGGGCAAGCGUUGUUCGGAAUUACUGGGCGUAAAGGGCGCGUAGGCGGCCUGCUAAGUCGAACGUGAAAUCCCUGGGCUCAACCCAGGAACUGCGUCCGAUACUGGUUGGCUUGAAUCCGGGAGAGGGAUGUGGAAUUCCAGGUGUAGCGGUGAAAUGCGUAGAUAUCAUGAGGAAUACCAGAGGCGAAGGCGGCUACCUGGACAAUUGCUGACGCUCAGGCACGAAAGCGUGGGGAGCAAAAGGG
rnacentral:rRNA from 1 species